rnacentral:sRNA from 1 species
AUGUACCACUCGUACACUGCGGUUCCUGUGCGCCGUCCGCACCCGUCUGACGACUGCUCGCGACGUUUUGUUAGCC